rnacentral:rRNA from 1 species
AUUGAACGCUGGCGGCAGGCCUAACACAUGCAAGUCGAGCGGAGCGGCCGACGGGUGCGUAAUGCCUAGGAAUCUGCCUGGUUUUGGGGGCUAACGUCCGGAAACGGGCGCUAAUACCGCAUACUAUCAGAUCAGCCUAUGUCGGAUUAGCUAGUUGGUGGGGUAAAGGCCUACCAAGCCCACGAUCUGUAACUGGUCUGAGAGGAUGAUCAGUCACACUGGACCUGAGACACGGUCCAGACUCCUACGGGAGGCAGCAGUGGGGAAUAUUGGACAAGUGGCGAAAGCCUGAUCCAGCCCUGCCGCGUGUGUGAAGAAGGUCUUCGGAUUGUAAAGCACUUUAAGUUGGGAGGCGUUACCAACAGAAUAAGCACCGGCUAAAUACGUGCCAGCAGCCGCGGUAAUUC